AUAAACAACAACAACAUAAAGUAUGGUGUUCUCAUGCAUAUCCCUAAUUUAGUUUUAAACUUAGAACGUUAUUCUCCAUUGCUCUGUAGAAAGUAUGUUAAAAAAAAGGUUAACCAUGCACUCAGCACACGUAAGAGUGACGAUUUGGCAUACCUCACUGGCUCACACCAGCCUUACUUAAGCCUUGUUUACUUCCUAAAAAUUUUGCAAAGUUUUUAAAAUUUCGUUACAUAGAAUCUUACGGCACAUGUAUGAAGCAUUAAAUAUAAAUAAAAAAUAAUUAAUUACAAAGUUUAUCUGUAAUUUGUGACAUAAACUUUUUGAGUCUAGUGUCCUUGAUUAGAUAAUAUUUGUGAAAAAAAAAUAAAAUGCUACAGUGUCUAUUUUGUAAAAAAAAUCAACUAAACAAGGCCUACUCUGCCCACUUUUUAAUCAAAAAUUGAUGAUAUAUAAUGUGGUAACGCUAUUGACUUUGCGGCACAUAUUAAUUAAUUAAUGUCCCAAUCAAGCAAACGUCACGAUGUUAAUUUAAUCGCGACACUCACUGAGAUUCUUUUUGCCACUGCAUGACUGCACGCGGGCCCUGCUGGGAGUGGCCAGGGAAUCUAGGCCCGUAUUAAACGCGCCCAGAUAUGUUCCAUAUUUAUUCCACUGCGUGAAAAACGGGUGAGUAAUUUCAUUUGCAUUUUGGCAAUGGAGACCUGCAAACUGUCAUCACCCUGAAAGUUCAUCUUCAACUGUACGAAUAUUUUUCGAUCGUAUUCGACACCGAAUUCAUUUAGAGGGUUCAGAUCUGUUCGUAUUCGAGUCCAUAUAAUCAACAUCCGAUACGUAUCCGUAUCCGAAUACUUAAAUUGUAUAUUUAUGAUGUCGACAUCUAAUCUUAUCUUAUCCGAAAUUGUUGAUAUUAUCCGUAUUCGAAUCUAAAUUCGUCCAAAAAUAUAAAAACAAAUAUAAUAUUAGUGAUAUCCAUUCGUAUCCGAUCUGUUUUCAUCCCUACUGGUUACCCAUAUAUAUAUAUGCAGU
rnacentral:lncRNA from 1 species